rnacentral:lncRNA from 10 species
CUUCCAUCAUCUCCAUACUUGCUGGGAGAUUGAGUAAUUGGUGUCUGGAUGUGCGUGUGCUGCUUCCCAAAAUACCUCUUUAAAAAGACGUGAGAGGGAUGCGGAGCCAGUAGGGAUGGCAAAGCUCGCUAUCACGUGGAUCACCCAGACUCCCUCAUUUUACUGGUUCUUCACAGCACCCAGGAAGAUUUUAGAUGGACCUCAAAUACAAAGGCUGUGAGGAGCCCUAUUCGUUGUGUUGACACCACUGAGAGAUUAUUUUUUUCCCAGAGAAGAAAAAGGAGACACACCUGACUUUUAACCUCUUUGAUCCCUUAAAAAGUUAUUUUCCCAGCUGGGUGCAGUAGCUCCUGCCUGUAAUCCCAGCACUUUGGGAGGCCGAGGUGGGUGGAUCACCUGAGGUCGGGAGUUCAAGACCAGCCUGGUCAGCAUGGUGAAACCCCGUCUCUACUGAAAAUACAAAAAUUAGCUGGGCAUGGUGGUGCAUGCCCAUAAUCCCAGCUACUUGGAAGGCUGAGGCAGGAGAAUCACUUGAAUCACUUGAGCCCUGCAGGUGGAGGUUGCAGUGAGCCAAGAUUACACCAUUGCACUCCAGCCUGGGUGACAGAGCGAGACUUCAUCUCAAAAAAAAAAAAAAAAAAAAGAGAGAGAAAAAAAGUUAUUUCCCCUUGUGCCAAGAAUGAGAUGAAGCCUGGAGAACAGAAAUGACUGAUUUUGAAGAUUGAGAAUUAGGAAUAUUGUACAGAUGCUGUCAUUCCUACAUGAAGGAGGCAGAAGAAUGUAGCAAGCUCAGCUCUCUAAUGCCAGGAGUGGCACUUUCAGUGACCAGAGCUCCCUGGGUCCUCUGUGUAUCCCUCCCCUGUCAACUGAUUCAACAGAGGCUGGGCUGGUCCUGGCAUUAGCACAUUUUUGAAUCUGCCUUUGGCUGUGACUUCACCCAAAGACAGAAAGGGGAAGUUUCUGGUCUACAUAGCCAACAUGUGGUCUUGAUAAUAAAUCAUUGCUUGUUUGGAAGAAUUUGGUCUGAGCCUUACUUUUAUUGUAAAACACUACCUGUAGAUGGCAGAUGGGGCAUGGGACCUUUAGGCCUUAUCCAGCUCUAAACAUGGGAGGCUACCAAAGACUCUGACGUUUGGCAAAUGGCCAAAUUUGCAGAGAU